rnacentral:lncRNA from 1 species
GCGGCCGGGACCGAGGGUUUGGUGCACCUCGAUUUGGAGGAAGUAGGGCAGGGCCCUUAUCUGGAAAGAAGUUUGGAAACCCUGGGGAGAAAUUAGUUAAAAAGAAGUGGAAUCUUGAUGAGCUGCCUAAAUUUGAGAAGAAUUUUUAUCAAGAGCACCCUGAUUUGGCUAGGCGCACAGCACAAGAGGUGGAAACAUACAGAAGAAGCAAGGAAAUUACAGUUAGAGGUCACAACUGCCCGAAGCCAGUUCUAAAUUUUUAUGAAGCCAAUUUCCCUGCAAAUGUCAUGGAUGUUAUUGCAAGACAGAAUUUCACUGAACCCACUGCUAUUCAAGCUCAGGGAUGGCCAGUUGCUCUAAGUGGAUUGGAUAUGGUUGGAGUGGCACAGACUGGAUCUGGGAAAACAUUGUCUGUAAUAUUUGCUUCCUGCCAUUGUCCACAUCAAUCAUCAGCCAUUCCUAGAGAGAGGCGAUGGGCCUAUUUGUUUGGUGCUGGCACCAACUCGGGAACUGGCCCAACAGGUGCAGCAAGUAGCUGCUGAAUAUUGUAGAGCAUGUCGCUUGAAGUCUACUUGUAUCUACGGUGGUGCUCCUAAGGGACCACAAAUACGUGAUUUGGAGAGAGGUGUGGAAAUCUGUAUUGCAACACCUGGAAGACUGAUUGACUUUUUAGAGUGUGGAAAAACCAAUCUGAGAAGAACAACCUACCUUGUCCUUGAUGAAGCAGAUAGAAUGCUUGAUAUGGGCUUUGAACCCCAAAUAAGGAAGAUUGUGGAUCAAAUAAGACCUGAUAGGCAAACUCUAAUGUGGAGUGCGACUUGGCCAAAAGAAGUAAGACAGCUUGCUGAAGAUUUCCUGAAAGACUAUAUUCAUAUAAACAUUGGUGCACUUGAACUGAGUGCAAACCACAACAUUCUUCAGAUUGUGGAUGUGUGUCAUGACGUAG